AUUAAACCGACCUUUGAAUUUAGACGCUUAUCCCACGGCCCUGGCUAACGUAAAUAAUUCUACGCUUCCAACUAAAGAAAAUCCCGUAAAAAGAUGGAAGAUAUUGUUAUAGGAGGUGAGAACUUGUUGCAUCCAGAAAAUCCCAGUUCAAUUAUAGCUGAGAUUGAAGAAGCUGAACAGGCUGACAACCACAAAAAGGAAGAUGAUAAUGAGCAGAAAGCAGCAGUGGAUGAAGGCAAAGGUGAAGAGAAAGGAGUUGGCUGUUAAACCACCUUCUUUCUAAUCUGGUCUCUCCUUUGAGCCCGAAAGCAGGAGAAGGUACUCAACCAGUCAAUAUCAAUGGAAAUGAAGGGUAUGGAGCAGAGGAACAUAUUGAAAGUAGUCCUAGUAGUGGAGGGCUCAUCAAGAAUGUUCUAUCAAAUUUCUUUCACCUCCCAAAUGAAACUGAUGAAGAAAAACGUCAAAACGAGAAGAACAAUGAAGAAGAGACUGUAAAAAUUGUAGAAAAAACUCAGCAUGAAAAACAGAAGACAGAAGAGGAUGGUGGAGCAAGCAUCAUUGAUAACAUUGUCUCUCAUUUACCAACAUCGCUUCCAGAGGAUGUGGCACUGGCACCAACAACUGAUGAAGCCAUCAUUCUAUUACAUUCAAUCAUCCUCGAUUAGAAGAAUCAGAACCGAUUAGUUCAGGAUUCUUGAUUGAUGUAGUUGGCAAGACUUCUGAAACUUGCGGUCUUCUUCUGUAUGUGUCUUGAUUUGAUUCAGUGAUCAACAUUGUUUUCAGUGCUGCUAAUUGAGCUUGGGUAUAAGGGUUGUAUUCAAUUCCACCAGCUUAGCCGAUCUCGAAUUGAUUUCAAACCAAUUUCUUUUGGAUUAGAAUUGAUUUCAAAUUGGGCUUUGUUCCGGAUGAAAUCCAGUACUGCUUAUGUUCAGUUUGGACACAAGUUAAUUUUGGGUUGAAAGAAUUUUAGUUUUUCUAUCUACACUUGUCAUUGGGUUAUUAUUCAUUUAAAUGUAAGGGGUGUGUUUUCAAACCGGGAUAGGGAUUCGACCCAUUCAAGGGACCGGUCUAAAUCUGUUCCAAUUGGAUUAGUGAAAGGUUUAAAAAAGUAUUAAAAAUAUAUUCAAUCAAUCAGAAAUAUGGUUUGGUUUAAUAGUA